GACGAACGCUGGCGGCGUGCUUAACACAUGCAAGUCGAACGAUGAACCCGGAGCUUGCUCCGGUGGAUUAGUGGCGAACGGGUGAGUAACACGUGAGUAACCUGCCCUUGACUCUGGGAUAACUGCGGGAAACUGUAGCUAAUACCGGAUACGACCCUCGGCGGCAUCGCCAGGGGGUGGAAAGAAUUUCGGUCAAGGAUGGACUCGCGGCCUAUCAGCUAGUUGGUGAGGUAACGGCUCACCAAGGCGACGACGGGUAGCCGGCCUGAGAGGGUGACCGGCCACACUGGGACUGAGACACGGCCCAGACUCCUACGGGAGGCAGCAGUGGGGAAUAUUGCACAAUGGGCGCAAGCCUGGUGCAACAACGCCGCGUGAGGGAUGACGGCCUUCGGGUUGUAAACCUCUUUUAGUAGGGAAGAAGCGAAAGUGACGGUACCUGCAGAAAAAGCACCGGCUAACUACGUGCCAGCCGCCGCAGUAA
rnacentral:rRNA from 1 species